AUUGAACGCUGGCGGCAGGCCUAACACAUGCAAGUCGAGCGAGCGGCGGACGGGUGAGUAAUGUAUGGGGACUGCACGAUAGAGGGGGAUAACUACUGGAAACGGUGGCUAAUACCGCAUACUAUCGGAUAACCCAUAUGGGAUUGGCUAGUAGGUGGGGUAAAGGCUCACCAAGGCGACGAUCUCUAGCUGGUCUGAGAGGAUGAUCAGCCACACUGGAACUGAGACACGGCCCAGACGACUACGGAGGCAGCAGUGGGGAAUAGUGCACAAGGGGCGCAAGCCUGAUGCAGUCAUGCCGCGUGUAGGAAGAAGGCCUUAGGGUUGUAAAGUACUUUCAGCGGGGAGGCGUGACCCGCAGAAGAAGCACCGGAUAACUCCGUGCCAGCAGCAGCGGUAAUAC
rnacentral:rRNA from 1 species